rnacentral:tRNA from 1 species
CGUAGCUCAGUUGGAUAGAGCAUCGGCCUUCUAAGCCGGCGGUCACAGGUUCGAUCCCUGUCGGG